UUAUGAGAGUUUGAUCCUGGCUCAGGACGAACGCUGGCGGCGUGCCUAAUACAUGCAAGUCGAACGCUUUUCCUUUCAUCGGAGCUUGCUCCACCGAAAG
rnacentral:rRNA from 1 species